rnacentral:rRNA from 1 species
CCUACGGGAGGCAGCAGUGAGGAAUAUUGGUCAAUGGACGAGAGUCUGAACCAGCCAAGUAGCGUGAAGGAUGACUGCCCUAUGGGUUGUAAACUUCUUUUAUAUGGGAAUAAAACGUUCCACGUGUGGGAUUUUGUAUGUACCAUAUGAAUAAGGAUCGGCUAACUCCGUUCCAGCAGCCGCGGUAAUACGGAGGAUCCGAGCGUUAUCCGGAUUUAUUGGGUUUAAAGGGAGCGUAGGUGGUUUGUUAAGUCAGUUGUGAAAGUUUGCGGCUCAACCGUAAAAUUGCAGUUGAAACUGGCAGUCUUGAGUACAGUAGAGGUGGGCGGAAUUCGUGGUGUAGCGGUGAAAUGCUUAGAUAUCACGAAGAACUCCGAUUGCGAAGGCAGUUCACUGGACUGCAACUGACACUGAGGCUCGAAAGUGUGGGUAUCAAACAGGAUUAGAUACCCCAGUAGUC